rnacentral:lncRNA from 10 species
GAAGGGAACACCCAUCCUCAGAUAAGGUGAUCCACCCUACCACAUAUUGUCUCCUAAUGGCCGUCCAGUUUAUCCUGGAGCCCUUGCAUGACACAGGCCUAUCGAAGCAUAGGAGAUGCCAAUAUUUUACCUCUUGGGUACUUUCUGUGUAGAAGAUUCAUAACAAGAACAAUACUUAUUCUGCAAUUCUUUAUAUAAAGCUAAAAGAAAAUGCAUUCUGCCAACAACUAAUGAGCUUGGAAGAGAACUCCAAACCCCAGAAGAGGCCUGUCACAUUGGCUAACACCUUGAUUUCCACCCACUGAGACCUUGAGCAGAGACUUCAGUUACACCCCACCCAGACUUCUGACCUGCAAAACUGUGAGCUAAUACAUGGAUGGUGUUUCAAGCUUCUGUUUGUAAAAUAUUGUUCCCCAGCAAUAGAAAAGUAAUACAUUUAUCUAAAAUCCUAUUGUUGAUAAAUGAGAGUCCAAGAUCUCCUAAGACUUAAAACAAGUCUUUUAUCUCCUGCUAGAGACAGAGAUAACAAACAGUGAUUUAAGAAUGCAUUUGAUCAAGCACCAAGGUAUAUAAUCAAGGUAUAGAUGCCCAUUGGGUGAGGAACACCCAAACUACUAUUCUUUAAUCAAUAAGAGAAGGUAAAAACUGAGAUUUAUAAUUGGUCAAACAUUAAUUCUGAAUAAAAGAAAACUAUUUCAGAGAAAGUGGAAUGUAUCUCCCACUAAAUUGCAUGGCUAGGAGUUAAAAAAAAAGGAAGCUACUCCUCCAACAUUUUAGCCUUUCAAAUCUGGUGGUACCAGCUAGAAACUAACAGGGGAUAUUUG